rnacentral:lncRNA from 1 species
UUGAGUUCUCCUAAAAACACAAAAGGUCACAUACUUAAAUCCUAAGAAAACAAGCAAAACCUAAAAUUAAAACCAUAAACCCUAUCGUGUUCCAAGGUACAUUUCCUCUUCUUUGCAUCUUUAACCAUUAUCGGAGCUUUCUGGCUUACUUCAAUCACUGUAUUUUCCUUUGAAAUGCCAUACCAAUAUUCUCCUAAAAUCUGAGUUUGUCAAAGAAAUAAGAACUAUUAUUUUUGGCAGAUCAUCCCCAAACUCAGAAAGAAAUGACCCAUCUUCACCGAUUCAACAUCUUUGAUCGUUGAAGACUAUAGGUUCAACUUCCGUCGGUACCUCUUCUAUCUAGUAGGAUGGGCUAGUGAGAUUGUGCCCUCGAGCUACAAGGGUGUGCAUUACUUUAUUUGUAUUCCGAGGAUUAAAUUGAAAAGAUAAGUUAAGAAAAAUGGGUCUUUUCUCUUAAUUUCAUUUAUGCCAAUCGCCAAUCUGUCCUUUGAGUCUGAUUUGAGUUUUUUUAUAACUGUUAGAGCAUCACCUUCAACUAUCAGAUCUUGAAAACCCAUUUCUUGCCAAAUAUUACGACUUGAAGACACGCCUUUGCUUCUGCAGUGGUCGGAUCCCCAGUUCUUCCUAAUGGGUAAGUACACGCCACCAUCAAAAGACCUUCAUGAUUUCUUAUAACGAUUCGCAUUGUCGCUGUAAUGUCCUGUUGAAAAAAUGCUUCAUCAAAAUUAGCUUUAACUUGUUCUGCCUUGGGGGUCUCCAGAAUUCCUCCUUUGACUUAAUGUUGACCUCUAUUAUGGAUUUUAUUUUAUCUAACUCUAGAAUAUAAGCUUUAAUAAAACCCACAACCUCUUAUACCCUUCCCUUUUUCCUUUCAUGGUAGUAUUUAUUUCUAUUAUACCACAUUGCCCAAACUGAAAUUGCCAUGACUGCACACAAAUGAAUGUUAUUGAUGCAAAAGAAAGAGAUUGACCAUUGUUUCCAUGUUUAUUCUGUGUUUAUGUGUGAGACAUCAACUCCAACUCCAACCUCUUGCAGAACCUUUUUUGUGAAUUCGCAAUCUCGAAAAAGGUGUUCCAUUGUUUCUUCUUCCACUGAGCAGAUUGGACAGGUAACAUCAUUCCUGAGUCUUCGAGUCUUUAGGUUACUAAGCGUGGGGAGAUAAUUGUUGGUUACUCUCCAUAAAUGUAUUUUUAUUUUACUGGGAAUCGGAAUGUUCCACAGUUUUGUAAAAUAAGCUUUUAUAUUAGUUUGGUAUGUAUAAUAAUCCUGUAGAUGUAGGUCAUUUUUAAUUAGCCAUUUAAAACCACUCUAAACUGUGUACUCGCCCUAUUUAUCUCCACGCCAUUUCAUAACAUCCUAUUGAGUGCUACCUACCAACGAAAUAAACAGGAUUGCCUCAGCUUGUUCCCUUUCUAGUAAGUCCCAGACUGUAUCAGAGUUCCAUGUAAAAGAUUCUUUAUUAAUUAGAUCUGCUACUUUGGAAUAGUUUAUAUUUAUACUCUAACUUUUUACUCUUCCAUCUCCAGGGGUAGGUAGCCAAGCAUCAUUCCAGAUAUUUGUUAAUUCACUGUUCCCUAUCCUCCAGCCUGUUCCUUCUUCCAAUAAACUAUGCACAUUUCGAAUGUUGUGCCAGGUAAAAGAGGGGUAAGCUCCUAACCUUGCAUUUGAAAAAUGAUCAUGUGGAUAAUAUUUUACUUUCAUUACGCGCGCAAACAAACAAUUAGGUUGGGCGAAUAAUCUCUAUCCCUGUUUAGUAACCAGGGCAAAAUUGAACAUUGCCAAAUCCCUAAACCCCAAAUGCUCAAACACUUUUGGACUGCACAUAACGAACCAAUUACUCCAAUGAAUGCCUUUAUUAGUUUUUAAAUUGCGCCACCAAAAUUUACUCAUCAAAUUUUCUAAUUCUUUGCAAAGCAACACUGUUAAUUUAAAACACUCAUGGCGUAAAUGAGAAGUGCUUGUAAAAUUUAUUUUAUAAAAACUUCUUUACCACUAAAAGACAAAUUACACAUGUUCUAAGUCUUCGUUUUUUGAAUAACUCUUUCUUUUAACUCCACGAACGCGCCUAUUUUUCUCCUCCUACCAUCGUUGGGAAGCCUAGAUAUUUUUCUGGGUUAUUUGAGAUUCGAACCCCAAAAACUCCUCUUAUUUUCUCUUUAAGGUCAUCCUGUACAUUUCUAUUAAAAUAAAUCAGGGAUUUCUCAAAAUUCACUAGCUGACCAGAAAUACUUUCGUACUCAUUAACUACUGUUUUCAUUAUUCUUGAACCUUCCAUCAUUGCUUCCCCAAAUAAUAUGCUAUCGUUGGCAAAGAAAAGAUGGGUGAUAGAUAGAUCUCCUCUGCCCACUCUAGCCCAUUCAAUUUUUCUUUCUCUUUUAGCGUUAUUCAGUAGCUUAGAAAGGCCUUCUGCACAUAUGAUAAAUAAAUAUGGGCUCAGAGGGUCUCCUUGCCUUAUUCCUCUCGUUGGUUUGAAUUCUGUCCAUUGAUUCCCAUUAAGUAACACCGAAUAGGAUACUGUUCUUACGCACCUCAUUAUAAGAUCAAUCCAACUGCUGCAAAAGCCUAACAUUUUCAUCAUAUCUUCAAGAUAAUUUCAUUCCACUCUGUCAUAGGCUUUACUCAUGUCCAAUUUUAGGGCAAAAAAGCUUGUGCCUCCUCUCUUCUUCUUUUUGAAAGAAUGUAAAAUUUCAUAAGCUAUCAUAAUGUUAUCAGUUAUUUGUCUUCAUGGGACAAAAGCACAUUACGUUUCUUCAAUGCAUAAGUGUAGAACCCUUCAAAAUCUAUUAACCACUACUUUCAAAUUUAUUUUGUAGACGACAUUGCAAAGACUUAUAGGUUUGAACUAUCCCAAAUUCGUGGGGGCUUGUACUUCUUUCCGGACACUUUGAGAGGUGUCAUGCUCUUUAAAGCUUCCACCACCUCUUAUUCUCUAAACUUUUUACCAAGUUCCUCAUUUAAAGGCUUUGUGAUACAAGGUUGGACUUCGUUUCUAAGCCCUUCACAACUUUGCAAUGGGUUGGAAGAGAAAAGAUUUUUAAAAAAGUUAGUUGCAACAUCAAUAAUAGCAUUAUUGCCUUCCACCCAUCCACCCUUUCCAUCCUCUAGAAUUUGAUCUCUAAAAAAUUAAAAAGAAUCUAUUAAGCUACUUCAGAAAAUAAUGAAAUCAUAAAUUAAUACAUGAUAAAAUUAUAUUUUGACCUCUCAAAAAUUUAUAAUUCAACUUCACCCCUAAUUUUUUUUUUGGAUUUGCUUUGUUAUUAGGAUAUAAAAGAAUACAAGGGUUUAUUUAAUAAUUAACUAAUUUAAGGUUUAUUUUAGUAGUUUAACCAUAGAUAUUUUUCUUAAUGGGAAAAGUCAAGGAAUAUGACUACUUAGUAAUGUAAGGUUAGCAUGUUGAAAGGUAAAAGAAUAAAAAGAAUGUACACAUAAUAUAAAAUAUAAUAAAAAUACAAGAAAUUAAUAUAAUAUUAGAUUAUGUUACAUUUACUGUAUGAAUGAAAAUUUUAAAAUUUCAUGUAAAAAUUAAAUAAAAUUUUUAUUGAAAUGGUGAUGUUGAAAAUUUAAAAUAUGUAACAUCUUUAAUUCAAAUCUUUUGAUAAGUGAAUUUUAAUUUUAUAUAGAAAUAUAAAAUUAUUAUAAUAUAAUUUUUUAUAUAAAAAUAUGUUCUUAAUCCCUUUUUAAUUAAAUUAUGUGGAAUUUACUUAUAAAUAAAUAAAUGAAAUGAUUGAUAGUGUACCGCCUUGACUGUGUUUGUUUGUUGGAGUAGAGAGAGACGUAAGGAUUGAGACAGACAGGAAGAGUUGUUCUGUGUGGCCCUUCGUCUUCGCCUUUGGCUUUGGGUCCUCCACAUCCACAAAUUGACAUUGACCACUUGAUGUUCUCCUUUUGGGUUAAGGUCAAUGUUCCAAAACUUGGUUUCUUAUUUUAUUUUAUUUUUCAGUUUGAUAGAUUCAAUUAUACUUUAGCUUUAUUAUUAAUUCUCAAGCAAUCAUAUAAAAUUAUGAGUUUGAGUAUACUUAAAUAUUUAAUAUCUUUAAAUUUAAAAAUUUUAGAAAGAGUUUAUAAAUAAUUUAAUAUUUAUAUUUUAAAAAUUUACACCAUUAAUUUAUUUCAUCAAUUCAAAAUUUUAAUUUUUAAUAUUCAAAAAUAUAUUUUAGGUAUAAUAAUUUAUUUGGACUUCUAACUUUAAAAGAAAAGUCAUUUUAGCCCUCCAUUUAAUUUUUCGUCUCUUUUAGUCAUUGUCUUGCAUUGUUUGUCAAAUCACCCCAAAAUAAAUGAAAAAUUAACCUUUGUUACCGUUACUAAUGUGACAUAUAUGUUGAUUGUCAUGUGAUGCCACAUAAACAAUCAAUUCAUUUUUUUAAAAAUUUUAAAAAAUAUACUUUAAAGAAUUAAAAAUUAUGGGAUUCUUUGCAAGAACUUGCUAAUGGUAUCUCAGACCCUUGAAUAUGCUUUAGGGAUUUUAAUGCCAUUCUAAAUGUGUACGAGAGGAAAGAGGGGUCGAAGAAUAGAAGCACAAUUUGCAAGCUCUUCCAAUCCUUUUUACAUGAUAUUAGUUUGCAAGAUAUGGGGUUUCAUGGGCCAAUGUUUGCUUGAAAUAGGGGUGAACUUUUUCAACGCCUUGACAGAGCCAUUUGUAAUGAACAAUGGGUUAAUUUUGCUCUGAAUUACUUUGUACAUUAUUUGCACAAACUCAAAUUGGACCACAUGCCUCUCACUGUGGCCACGGAUUCGAUUGCUUCAUUUGUUGGUGACAAACCUUUUUGAUGUUUAGCAAGUUGGCAAUCACACCUUGAGUUUAAUGACUUAGUACGAGGUAAUUGGAAUGUGUCAACUAAGGUGGUUGCUAAUAUAAAAGGGUGUUUAGGAACAUUUUUGCAAGGAAGAAAGAGUUGAUGACAAAGUUGUGAAAGGUGCAAAGGUCUCUUGAAUUGUGAGAUAAUCCAAGCCUACAUUCUUGUGAGAUCGAUUUAAAGACUGCUAUUGAGGACAUCCUAGAGUAGGAAGAACUUCUAUGGAUCCAAACUUCUAGAAGUACAUGGCUUGCCAAUGGUGAUAGAAAUACAAAAUUUUUCCAUAGCCGUACUUUAGCUUGACGAAAAUGAAAUUGAAUACAAGGCCUUAGGAUUUAAGGAAUGGGGUGGUGUUAUGAUGAAGACACACUUAAAAAACAUGUUAUUGAGUUUUACAAGAAUCUAUACACGAUUGACGUAUUCCCUCCUACUGAAUAAUUUUUCUGUCGAGGAAGAUUUCCAGCGUUGGAUAAUGAUGAUUUGGUGGUUCUUAAUGUUAAAGUCUCAAUUGAUGAAGUUCAAAAAGUGUUCUUCAGCAUGGCUCCUUUAAAGGCUCCAGGAGUGGAUGGUCUUCAUGCGAAAUUUUACCAGCUGUAGUAGGAGUGUAAUAGCCCAUUUUCAGUGGUGUCGAACAUAGUGGUUAUGAGACCACAAUUCCAACAAACAAGUCAGUAAAUAUUAUUAUUUUAAUAUUGUAACGCCUUAAUUUAUUUAAUUUUGUUCUUGUGAAUUCUGUCAUAAAUGAGUAUCUACUUUAGUGGCUAAGUGUUCUGAAUGUGUGUUUGAGGUCUUUGGUUUAGGUUUCACUUUUGAAAAUUCUAUUUUUUUAUCCUAGCCUUAUCCUUGGCGGUUUGGCUUAUAAUCUAUUACUAGUCAAAUCAUAUGAGAUGAGCCUGCUGGUUUGAGGGUAAGGUGUUAGCUUACCGUGAGGUCCUGUGUUCGAGUCCCUGUGUUAAGGAAGCUAAUAUUUAUAAGACGGCUUAGGGUUAAUGAAGCUAAUAUUCAUAAGACGACUUUUAGGACACUUUAUAGAGACUACAAUUUCCUAGUCAUGUCAUUUGGUUUGAAGAAUGCUCCGGUUGCAUUCAUGGAUCUGAUGAACUGGGUUUUCCAGCUGUAUGAUCAGUUCAUCUUUGUCUUCAUCAACGAUAUUCUGGUGUACUCUAAGACCGAAAAUGAACAUGAUGAGCAUCUUAGAGUAGUGCUUUGGAUAUUGCGUAAGAAACAAAUCUACGCUAAGUUGAGCGAGUGUGAGUUUUGGUUGCAGGAAGUAACAUUUCUAGGGCAUGUGUUUUCUGCUGAGUGGAUCCGUGUUGAUCCUAGAAAGAUUGAAGCUGUACUUGAUUGGAAGUAGCCGAAGAAUGUAUCUAAGAUCUGUAGUUUUCUAGGUCUUGCAGGUUAUUAUCGGAGGUUUGUUAAGGGGUUCUCGUUGAUUGCAGCUCCUCUGACUAAGCUUCUACGCAAGAAUGUUCAUUUUGUCUAGACUGAUGCGUAACAAUUGAGCUUUGAGAAUCUCAAGUCUGUUCUAACUCAGGCUCCUAUUUUGAUAUAGCCUGAAUCUAGAAAAGAGUUCGUGGUUUAUAGUGAUGCAUUACACGUCGGUUUGGGACGUGUAUUGAUGCAAAAUGGUAAAGUUGUGGCUUAUGCAUCCCGAUAGCUUAAGUCACACAAGGGAAAUUAUUUAACGUACGAUCUUGAGUUGGCUGAAGUGGUUUUUGCCUUAAAGAUUUGGAAGCAUUAUCUGUAUGGUGAGAGGUGUAUCAUCUACACCAAAAACAAGAGUCUUAAGUACCUCCUUACUCAGAAAGAGUUGAAUCUUAGGCAGCGUAGAUGGAUCGAGUUACUUUAGGACCAUGACUGUACGAUAGAGUACAAUCCCGGUAAGGCCAAUGUGGUGGCCGAUGCUCUCAGUCGUAGAGUAAUGUCUAAUUUAAGGGUGAUGUUUGCUCACCUAAGUCUGUUUGAGGAUGGGGGUCUGUUAGCUGAGUUGCAAGUUAAGCUGACUUGGAUUGAUCAGAUUCGAGAUAAGCAUUUAGGGGAUGAUUAUCUGGUUUCGUAUUUCUGUCAGGUUGAGAGCGGCAGUAUGUUUGAUUUUGGGUUCAAUAAUGAUGGUGUUUUGUGUUUCCGAAGACGAGUUUGUGAACCGAGCGACUCUAAUUUGAGAUAGUCAAUUUUGAGAGAAACGCAUAGUAGCCCUUAUGCUAUAUAUCCCGGUGGAAAUACAAUGUAUCGGGAUCUCCGUGAACUGUACUAGUGGUCGGGUUUAAAACGAGAAGUCAUAGAUUUUGUUUCUCGUUGUUUAACAUGCCAGCAGGUUAAGGCUGAGCACUAGUUUCCUUUAGGUUUGUUUCAACCCGUUAAGAUUCCCUUAUGGAAAUUAGAACAUGUAACGAUGGACUUCAUUAGUGGGUUGCCUUUAACACCUACUAAAAAGGAUUCUGUAUGGGUCAUCGUGGAUCAGUUGCCCAAUUCUGCCCAUUUCAUUCCGAUUCAGACAUUUAUUCACUACAGAAGUUGGCCAAGCUCUACAUUUCUGAGAUUGUGAGCUUCACAGGGUUUCGAUUCCGAUAAUUUCAUAUAGAAAUCCUCGCUUCACUUCUCAGUUUUGGAAGAAACUUCAUGAAGCUCUAGGUUCGAGAUUGGAUUUCAGUACUACGUUCCAUCCUUAAACCGAUGGUCAGUCUGAGAGGGUGAUUCAGAUGCUGAAGGAUAUGCUUUAGAGUUGUGUGAUUGAUUUCCAAGGGAGUUGGGAGGAUUUUUGACCUUUAGCUAAGUUUACCUACAACAAUAGUUUUUAGUCUAGCAUCUAGAUGGCAUCUUACGAAGCUCUGUAUGGUCGUAAGUGUCGUACUCCGCUAUGUUAGACUGAGUUGGGUGAACGAUAGGUUUUGGGUCCUAAGUUGGUUUUCGAGUCUGAGGAUAAAGUUAAGUUAAUUCGGGAUCGUCUUAAGGCAACUUCAGAUAGACAGAAGUCUUAUACAAAUCUGAAAAGAAGGGAUAUCGAGUAUUCUGUGGGGGAUUACGUGUUUCUUAAGGUAUCUCCAUAGAAGAAGGUUCUGCAGUUCAGACGUAAAGGCAAGUUGAACCCUAAUUUCAUUGGGCCGUAUCAAAUUUUGAAGCAUGUGGGAUCGAUCACUUAUUCGUUAGAGCUACCUCCGGAGUUAGACCGUAUUUAUGACAUAUUUCAUGUCUCUAUGUUGAGGUGAUAUCGGUCUAAUCCAUCUCACAUUAUUUUGGUUGAGGAGAUCGAGGAUAGAUUAGAUUUGUUAUUUGAGGAGGAGUCGGUUCAGAUUUUGGAUCGAGAUGUAAAGGUUGUAAGGAGGAAGUCUAUUCUGUUAGUUAAGGUUCUGUGGCAGAAUCAUGGCAUUGAAGAAGCCACAUUUUGCCACAUGGGAACGUGAGGACUUGAUGAAUCGGCAGUAUCCUUAUCUGUGCGGAGCAGGUAAAUUUCGAGGUUAAAAUUUCUUUUAGGGGGUAGAGUUGUUAUGCCCUGAUUUAUUUAAUUUUGUUCUUGCAAAUUCUGUCAUAAAUGAGUAUCUGCUUUAGUGGCUAAGUGUUCUGGAUGUGUGUUUAAGGUCUUCGGUUAAAGUCUCACUUUUGAAAAUUUUGUUUUAUUUUAUCCUAGCCUUAUCCUUGGCAAUUUGGCUUAUAAUCUAUUGCUAGUCAAAUUGUAUUAGAAUGAACCUGCUGGUUCGAGGGGUAAGGUGUUAGCUUGCUUUAAGGUCUUGUGUUUGAGUCCCUGUGUGAAUGAGAAUGAUAAUUUUUGCUUUGGAUGUCUGAUAGAGGUUCAGUGGAGUUGAAACUCUAUGGUGGCUGGAUGAGAAUUUGAUGUCGGUUUUAGUGGGAUACUAUUGGUUAGUGGGUUAGUGGGGAGUUGGGGAAUUUAGUGGUUAUUUUUUUAAAAAAAAUUAUUUUUAUUUUUAAUUUUCUUUUCUCUAAAAUCCAUCUCCACUUUUGGACAUUUCUUUUCUUCUUUUCCAAAUUUUGUUUUUUUCCUGACGAUUUUCUCCCCCUUUUCUUUCUUUGCAAAAAUUUAUUGUUGCAUCCCUCUUCAAUUCUGAAUGCCAUUCGUGUUGUCGUCAUUGUACUUUUUGGGGGGUUCUUUGAUUCGUUCUGAACAGGUAAACUAUUGAGUAGUUCUUUUCUGUUUUGCGUUCUAGGGGAUUUUUAGUUAUGUGUAACAGAAUCCGUUGAUUGUGUUCAUUACUUCUCGUUUAGGGGAAAGGCAAGAAGUGGCUGGUGCUCCUUUCAUCGGUUUGGGUGUUGUGUGUUUUAGCUUGUUGGUGGUAAGUGAAUUGCGCGUAAUUCGAUUUUGAAAGGUUUUUAUCGGAAUCAAAUUCUUAGUUAAGUUUGUAAAUUGGUUGCUAAUUUGUCAUUGGGAUGUUGUUUCUUAGGUUUCGGAGGACUCGAGAUUACUAUAGCAUAAAAAUUGAACCAAGUGUGAACGAAAACACGAGAAAAUGAUAUUUAGCAAAAGCCAAAAAAGUGGCCUAUCGACGCCACAUGGGCGUGUGCCUAUGUGGGUCACACGGGCUAGGCCAAUUUGGGCGUGUGGGCCAUAUGGGCGUAUGGGCCCACACGAGCAUGCCACACGGGGAAGGCCAAUUUGGGUGUGUGGGUCACACAAAUGUGUAGGCCCACACGGGCAAGCCAUGUGAGCUUGUAGGCCCAAAAUUCUAAAAUUUUCCCUACGGUCACACACGUCGUUUCUGUCGACUUUGGUCCUUCUGUAGGGUUGAUAAAGGCAAGACAAACCCUAAAGCAUGAGAUCUUCUAUUCAGAUAGUUCGAUUUGGGUAUUAAGAAAUGGAUAUGUAUGAUUUGACUAUUUUGUAAUAACAUGUAUGAUAUCUGUAUAUGAGUAUGCGAGACAUGAUAAUUCUGUUAUAUUUGUAUAUCUGUAUUCUGUAUCAAUAUAUGGGGCAUGAUUUGCAUAUGUGGAAGAAGUGUUCUGUGAUGCGACAUUUCUCCGAUAUAUUGGCAGCUUGGAUGCAAACUAUUUUGAUAAGUGUCAUAAAGACACUAUGUGGUGUGUAGGGAUAGGUGGGUGUUUUAUACCCCACAUGUUGUGUUGGGCUGGUCGGAGAUUGUGUGUAGAGGAUGCGACUAGGACGUUGCAUAUUUGUAUGUUUUUGAUAAUCCGAUUUUGAUAUUAUCCGAUUUUGUAAAGGACUUGUGUCUCUAUUUGAUCUACUACAUUAGAAAUAUGAGUUUAUGUGUAUGUGUGUCUGUGUGAAGUUACACACUGAGUCGAUGAAAACUCACAUUUGUUUGUAUGUUCUAUUCAGGUAAUCCUCAAACAUAGGCAGGUCGGUGAGAUGGAGUUUCAACGGUGACCACUAGUUCGCGGACAAGUUUAAUUAACAGUUUUAUUUAAAUUAUGGAUUAUUUUGAGAGUUUUGUAAUUUCUGGACUCUCUGGACUGUUGGUUUUAAAUUUUGGGGUUUUAAAAUGGUUUAGAUUAUUAUUCCGCGACUGUUAUCAAAACGAUUUAUGAAAAUAAUGGUUUUAUGCAAACAAAUAUUUUUCUAAAAACACAAGCUCAGAUUUCAAAUAUAAUGACUUCAAACUUUUGCUGCAAUAUAAGAUUUACUGUAGGAGUAGACUAUUGACGUUUUCCUUAAUGAAUAUAUUAAAAAUAACGUGUUUUAUAAAACGUGGACUCUCUUUUCGUAACAAAUUAUUCAAGAAAUUUUGACACGGAAUAAUUGGUUUCAAAACCCUUCUUUCUAACAUUCCUAGAUUCGACCAUAACAUCCAAGCCGGGUUUGGGGUGUUACAAAUAUUUAUAGGUAUUUAUUAAAGUCAUAUUAAAUUUUGGUUAAGAAAUUUUAAUGUUUAAUUAGUUAAUUAAGUAAAAAGAACUAAAUUGUAAAGGUUGCAAAAUAUAAUUACUUUUAGUUAAUUGUGUUAAAU